CGCGGGGUGGAGCAGCUCGGUAGCUCGCUGGGCUCAUAACCCAGAGGUCGCAGGUUCGAAUACUGUCCCCGCUACCA
rnacentral:tRNA from 1 species